GGAAGACAUGCCCUGUCCACUCCCAGACACUCCCAAGGGAAAAGAGGCUGCAAAACACCAUUUGGUGAGAGGCCUGGUGGAGACAGGAGACGCAGGCGCUCAGGGAGAGACAGGCCCCUCCACACCGGGGCCUCCUUCUGGAAACUUAGUGCUCAGGGAGAGACAGGCCCCUCCACACCGGGGCCUCCUUCUGGAAACUUAGUGCUCAGGGAGAGACAGGCCCCUCCACACCGGGGCCUCCUUCUGGAAACUUAGUUAGAAUUUGUCCCUGAAUUAUAAUAAGACAGCCUCUACUUUGAAAAGAAACCGGCUUUGAUGUAUUGUUUGGCGGCAGCUCCCCAACACUGAGAUCUGAUGUGCCCCCAGAUUCCCUGUGCUCGGAAAACAGGACACGCCGAGGACAUAGAAGCCUGCACCAGGCGCAGAGCUUCCGCCACCAAGGAUGUUCCAGCAGAGACCACACAGCCGCGUGGCCUGGACUCGAAGCCAUUGAAGUUUUGAAUCUCUAAGUCCUUAUUUCUUGCCAGCCCAACUAUUAAUAAA
rnacentral:lncRNA from 1 species